UACGUAGGGGGCGAGCGUUGUCCGAAGUUACUGGGCGUAAAGCGCGCGUAGGCUGUCCUUUAAGUCUGGUGUGAAAGGUUCAGGGCUCAACCCGAACAGUGCACUGGAUACUGGGGGACUUGAGUGCGGGAGAGGAGAGUGGAAUUCCUGGUGUAGCGGUGAAAUGCGUAGAUAUCAGGAGGAACACCCGUGGCGAAGGCGGCUCUCUGGCCUGCAACUGACGCUGAGGCGCGAAAGCUAGGGGAGCAAACGGG
rnacentral:rRNA from 1 species